rnacentral:rRNA from 1 species
UACGUAGGGGGGCUAGCGUUGUCCGGAUUUAUUGGGCGUAAAGAGCGUGUAGGCGGCCAGGUAGGUCUGCUGUGAAAACUCGAGGCUCAACCUCGAGACGUCGGCGGAAACCAUCUGGCUAGAGUCCGGAAGAGGAGAAUGGAAUUCCCGGUGUAGCGGUGAAAUGCGCAGAUAUCGGGAAGAACACCCGUGGCGAAGGCGGUUCUCUGGGACGGUACUGACGCUGAGACGCGAAAGCGUGGGGAGCGAACAGG